rnacentral:rRNA from 1 species
GACGAACGCUGGCGGCGUGCUUAACACAUGCAAGUCGAACGGAAAGGCCCUGCUUUUGUGGGGUGCUCGAGUGGCGAACGGGUGAGUAACACGUGAGUAACCUGCCCUUGACUUUGGGAUAACUUCAGGAAACUGGGGCUAAUACCGGAUAGGAGCUCCUGCUGCAUGGUGGGGGUUGGAAAGUUUCGGCGGUUGGGGAUGGACUCGCGGCUUAUCAGCUUGUUGGUGGGGUAGUGGCUUACCAAGGCUUUGACGGGUAGCCGGCCUGAGAGGGUGACCGGCAACAUUGGGACUGGGAUACGGCCAGACUCCUACGGGAGGCAGCAGUGGGGAAUAUUGCACAAUGGGCGGAAGCCUGAUGCAGCAACGCCGCGUGCGGGAUGACGGCCUUCGGGUUGUAAACCGCUUUCGCCUGUGACGAAGCGUGAGUGACGGUAAUGGGUAAAGAAGCACCGGCUAACUACGUG